rnacentral:lncRNA from 1 species
CGACGACGACGACGUUAUUCCCGACUUCCUAGCAUCAGUCAGGGCAAGAUUUAGUACCGCUGAGAGAAAAAACGUUUUAUCUGCUCUACCUUUCUGGGACAGUUUCAGUGGAUAUAAGUUUACAGCCAAAGGCACCUGAGAAGACUGACAUGCUUACAAUAAAUCUGUCCAUUAACUGCUUCAGCCCUCGUCCUUUUGCAAGCAUCUCAAAUAAAUGCCUGUUUUCCAACCAGCUUGCCUUCUUCCUUUGUUUGCAUGAACAGAAGUGCCACUCUGUAGGGGAACACAUAGAACUGGCUUUCAUAGAAGUACAAGAGGAUAUGUAUGCUGUUUUGGUAUCGCUGAAGGUGCUUUCUAGGCACCUUCUGAACAGGAACAUUAUUCAAAAUGAAGACAGUCAAGGAAUUAUAAACAAAGUAGUUUACCCUUAGUCCUGAGUCAGUGAGCUCCACACAGUAUCUGCCUCUUUCCCUGGUUUCCACGUUGAUAUAUGCCACAUCCUCUGCACAUGGAAGGGUUUUUGAAACAAACAUGUUGCUGACAGCAAACAGAACAUCAUUCACUACAGCUUCAGCUUCUAGUCUCAUAUCUUUUACAUCUGCUUCUUCGAAGUCUCUAUAAUCAG